rnacentral:rRNA from 1 species
AAUGGGCGGAAGCCUGAUCCAGCCAUCCCGCGUGCAGGAUGAAGGCCCUAGUGGUUGUAAACUGCUUUUAUUUGGGAAGAAAUCUGUCUAUUUAUAGGCAGUUGACGGUACCAUAUGAAUAAGCACCGGCUAACUCCGUGCCAGCAGCCGCGGUAAUACGGAGGGUGCAAGCGUUAUCCGGAAUCACUGGGUUUAAAGGGUGCGUAGGCGGCCUGACAAGUCAGGGGUGAAAUGUCGUCGCUUAACGAUGAAAUUGCCUUUGAUACUGUUGGGCUUGAAACAGGUUGAGGUUGGCAGAAUGUGGCAUGUAGCGGUGAAAUGCAUAGAUAUGCCAUAGAAUACCGAUUGCGUAGGCAGCUGGCUGGACCUGGAUUGACGCUGAGGCACGAAAGCGUGGGGAGCAAA